UAUGUGUGUAUAUAUAUGUGUGUAUAUAUAUAUGUACACACACACACACACACACACACACACACACACACACACACAC
rnacentral:miRNA from 1 species